GGUUAAGCGACUAAGCGUACACGGUGGAUGCCCUGGCAGUCAGAGGCGAUGAAGGACGUGCUAAUCUGCGAUAAGCGUCGGUGAGGUGAUAUGAACCGUUAUAACCGGCGAUUUCCGAAUGGGGAAACCCAGUGUGUUUCGACACACUAUCAUUAACUGAAUCCAUAGGUUAAUGAGGCGAACCGGGGGAACUGAAACAUCUAAGUACCCCGAGGAAAAGAAAUCAACCGAGAUUCCCCCAGUAGCGGCGAGCGAACGGGGAGGAGCCCAGAGCCUGAAUCAGUGUGUGUGUUAGUGGAAGCGUCUGGAAAGGCGUGCGAUACAGGGUGACAGCCCCGUACACAAAAAUGCACAUAUUGUGAGCUCGAUGAGUAGGGCGGGACACGUGGUAUCCUGUCUGAAUAUGGGGGGACCAUCCUCCAAGGCUAAAUACUCCUGACUGACCGAUAGUGAACCAGUACCGUGAGGGAAAGGCGAAAAGAACCCCGGCGAGGGGAGUGAAAAAGAACCUGAAACCGUGUACGUACAAGCAGUGGGAGCCUCUUAAUGGGGUGACUGCGUACCUUUUGUAUAAUGGGUCAGCGACUUAUAUUCUGUAGCAAGGUUAACCGAAUAGGGGAGCCGAAGGGAAACCGAGUCUUAACUGGGCGUUAAGUUGCAGGGUAUAGACCCGAAACCCGGUGAUCUAGCCAUGGGCAGGUUGAAGGUUGGGUAACACUAACUGGAGGACCGAACCGACUAAUGUUGAAAAAUUAGCGGAUGACUUGUGGCUGGGGGUGAAAGGCCAAUCAAACCGGGAGAUAGCUGGUUCUCCCCGAAAGCUAUUUAGGUAGCGCCUCGUGAAUUCAUCUCCGGGGGUAGAGCACUGUUUCGGCAAGGGGGUCAUCCCGACUUACCAACCCGAUGCAAACUGCGAAUACCGGAGAAUGUUAUCACGGGAGACACACGGCGGGUGCUAACGUCCGUCGUGAAGAGGGAAACAACCCAGACCGCCAGCUAAGGUCCCAAAGUCAUGGUUAAGUGGGAAACGAUGUGGGAAGGCCCAGACAGCCAGGAUGUUGGCUUAGAAGCAGCCAUCAUUUAAAGAAAGCGUAAUAGCUCACUGGUCGAGUCGGCCUGCGCGGAAGAUGUAACGGGGCUAAACCAUGCACCGAAGCUGCGGCAGCGACACUAUGUGUUGUUGGGUAGGGGAGCGUUCUGUAAGCCUGUGAAGGUGGCCUGUGAGGGUUGCUGGAGGUAUCAGAAGUGCGAAUGCUGACAUAAGUAACGAUAAAGCGGGUGAAAAGCCCGCUCGCCGGAAGACCAAGGGUUCCUGUCCAACGUUAAUCGGGGCAGGGUGAGUCGACCCCUAAGGCGAGGCCGAAAGGCGUAGUCGAUGGGAAACAGGUUAAUAUUCCUGU
rnacentral:rRNA from 1 species